AUACGUAGGUGGCGAGCGUUAUCCGGAUUUACUGGGUGUAAAGGGCGUGUAGGCGGUUUCGUAAGUCGGAUGUGAAAUUCCCAGGCUUAACCUGGGAGCUGCAUCCGAAACUACAGAACUUGAGUACUGGAGAGGAUAGUGGAAUUCCUAGUGUAGCGGUAAAAUGCGUAGAUAUUAGGAGGAACAUCAGUGGCGAAGGCGACUAUCUGGACAGUAACUGACGCUGAGGCGCGAAAGCGUGGGGAGC
rnacentral:rRNA from 1 species